rnacentral:rRNA from 1 species
UCAGAUCAGGCAGGACUACCCCGCCGAACUUAAGCAUAUCAAUA